CUCAAUACGGUUGAGAAGAGUAGCUGGCCUGGGCAGCCUACACUGAAGACGCCAGAAAACUCCAUAGUGACAUUGGUUUGGAAUCAGACACCGCAAUGGAAAAAGCAGAGACACUGCAAAAGUAAACAGAGUUAAAAGAGAAACCAAAACCUGGUAAGACUGAAGAGAUAGCAGAAGAGGAAGAAACAGUUUCCCCUAAAGCUAAACAUAUUAGAAAGAGAGCAGAGCCUUCUGAAGUUGAUAUGAAUUAUCCAAAAUCCAAAAAAGGCAAAGAAGAAAGAGGUGCCAUCUCAAGAUGGUAUUUCUCCUAAAACCAAAAGUUUGAGAAAGAAAAAGGAGCCCAUUGAAAAGGAAGCUGUUUCUUCUAAAACCAAAAAAAGGUACAAAAAAUGAGGAGCCUUCUGAGAAAGAAAUACAUGCUUCUAAGCCCAAGAAGAUGAAGAAAGAAAAGGAAAUGAAUGGAGGAGCUGCAGAAAAAAGCCCUAAACUGAAGAAUGGAUUUCCUCAUUCUGAAUCUGACUGUAACCCCAAUGAAGGGGCCAAUGAAGAAAGUAACAGUGAAAUAGAGCAGGAGAUACCCGUGGGACCAAAAGAUGGUGCUUUCUCUAAUUUUCCCACAUCUGAAGAACUAUUAAGCUUCUCAAAGACCAAGGAGUGAAUCUUCCUAUUUCCUAUACAAGCAAAGACAUUCCAUCGUGGUUACAGUGGGAAGGGCUUAAUUGCACAGGCACAGGCAGGAACUGGGAAGAUACUCUCCUUUGCCAUCCCUUUCAUUGAGAAACUUCAUGGGGAACUGCAAGACAGAAAGAGAGCUUGUCCUCCUUAGGUACCGGUUCUUGCGCCUACAAGACAGUUGGCAAAUCAAGUAAGCAAAGACUUCAGUAACAUCACAAAAAAGCCGUCAGUGGCUUGUUUUUAUGGUGGAACUCCUUAUGGAGGUCAAUUUGAACACAUGAGGAAUGGGAUUGAUAUCCUGGUUGGGACACCAGGUCGUAUCAAAGUCCACAUACAGAAUGGCAAACUAGAUCUCACCAAACUCAAGCAUGUUGUCCUGGAUGAAUUUGACCAGAUGUUGGAUAUGGGAUUUGCCGAUCAAGUGAAAGAAAUUUUAAGUGUAGCAUACAAGAAAGAUUCUGAAGACAAUCCCCAAACAUUGCUUCCUUCUGCAGCUUGCCCUCAUUGGGUGUUUAAUAUUGCCAAGAAAUACAUGAAAUCUACAUAUGAACAGGUGGACCUGAUUGGUAAAAAGACUCAGAAAACAGCAAUAACUGCAGAGCAUCUGGCUAUUAAGUGCCACCACACUCAGAGGGCAGCAGUUAUGGGGAUGUCAUCUGCGUAUAUAGUGGUUAUCAAGGAUGUACUAUCAUCUUUUGUAAAACCAAGAAAGAAACCCAGGAGCUGUCCCAGAAUUUGGCUAUAAAGCAGGAUACCCAGCUAUUGCAUGGAGACAUUCCACAGAAGAAAAGGGAAAUCACCCAGAAAGGCUUUAGAAAUGGUAGUUUUGGAGUUUUGGCAGCAAUCAAUGUUGCUGAACGCACAUUAGACAUCCCUGAGGUUGAUUUGGUUAUACAAAGCUCUCCACCAAAGGAUGUAGAGUCCUACAUUCAUCUAUCCGAGUGGAUGGGCAGAGCUGGAAGGACAGGGCUGUACAUCUGCCUUUACCAACACAAGGUAGAAUAUCAGUCAGAACAAGUAGAGCAAAAGGCAAGAAUUAAGUUCAAACGAUGGUGUUCCUUCUGCAACAGGAAUAAUAAAAGCUUCCAGUAAAGAUGCCAUCAGGCUUUUGGAUUCCGUGCCUCCCACUGCCGUUAGACACUUCAAGCCAUCAGUGGAGAAGCUGAUAGAGGAGAAGAGAGUUGGGGAAACUCUGGCAGAAGCACUGACCCAUGUUUCAGGUGUCACAUUCAUAGACCAGCGCUCCUUGAUCAACUUCAAUGUGGGUUUUGUGACCAUGAUCUUGUGAUGCUUAAGUGAAAUGCCAAAUAUUAGUUAUGCAUGGAAAGAACUUAAAGAGCAGCUGGGUGAGAAGACUGAUUCCAAAGUGAAGGGAAUGGUUUUCCUCAAAGGAAAGCUGGGUGUUUGUUUUGAUGCACCUACCGCAUCAGUAACAGAAAUACAGGAGAAAUGGCACGAUUCACGACACUGGCAGCGCUCGGUAGCCACAGAGCAACCAGAGCUGGAGGGACCACAGGAAGAAUAUGGAGGUUUCAGGGGACAGUGGAACGGAAACAAGAUUCAGAGGACAGCGGGAAGGCAAUGGAGGCCUGAGAGGACAGCAAUCAGGAGGUGGCAAUGAAGUAAGAGACCCCAAAACAAAGGCCUGAAGAGUAGUUUCAGUAAAGCAUUUGGUCAGUAAUUAAAAAUAAAAAGAUUUAUGUAGCAAAAAGAGAAUGAUGUUUGGCCAUAUAGAACCGAAUAUUAUUUUUUGUCCAAAGUAAGGACACAUUAUGCUUCCUUUUGACCAUUUGCUGAGUCCUAGUCUCUUUCAGAUCCAGACAAGCUUCAACUAAAUUGUUUCAUCUGAUCAUUAUCAUUUAUAACUUUAUUGCUACUUCUUCCUCAGUUUUUCCUUUUGAAAGGUGUAUGAAUUCAUUAAUUUUUAUUCUAAUGCAUUAUCUAUAGAUUAAAAGAUAAACUCAAGCAUGUAUCUGGCUAUACUUUGUGAUUUCACCUGCCUUUAUACUCAAAGUGUCCCUUAAUAGUGUCCUUUCCUAAAAUAAAUGCCCUAAGGGAGUGUAACAGUCUCUGGAGGACCACUUUAACCCUUUGGAAGUUAAGGUCUCCUCAGCCAACUGCCGAACUGUUUCUCAUGUGGUCCUAUUAUUUGUCAACUGAGACUUAAUACUGAGCAGUGUGUCAAAACAAGAUUUCAAACUUAGCUGGGUUGUAAUACAGUCUACACCAGCGUAUGCUCUAGAUUUGGAAGACGUAGUGUGUUGAUAUAGAUUACCUAUACUUAUGUACGUUUUGAUAUAUUUUUAGCUUCUCAUUAUAAGGUGAUUCAUGCUUCAGUGAAUUCUUCACAGAAAAUAUAUAUAAAAGUAUAUUUUAAUAGAAAGCUGGGGUCUUUAGAGAAUUUCAAAUAUAUAAGGUGGCUCCAUAGCUUUCUUUGUAAGAAUGCUGGAUAAAUAGUUCUUAAAUGAUAAUGCAUUCCACUUCUUCCUAUUGGAAGAUUAACAUUAUUUACCAAGAAGGACUUAAGGGAGUAGGAGGCACAAAUUUGCAUUACUGAAGAGUAUGUCAAAAA